GAUGAGUAAGAUGCACCUCCAGUGCUCCAAGAGGGUAAAAAGCACUUGGGACAUGGAUGAAGUCAAUGACUCCUACUGACUUCAAUGGGCUUUGGAUGAGGACUUUGUAAGGGGGAGAAGAGACAGUGAGGAAGGCCAAGGAAGAACUGGAAGAAGACAGCAACAAGGGUUAGUGAACGGGCUGGCAUCACCUGCGAAGAAGUACCACAACUAGCAAGUGAUCGUAAUCAGUGAAGGAAUGGGAAUCAGUGAUGUGUCAGCAGCACCGGAGGAACUCAGGUCAUCACCUUGGGUUGUUUCUCUAAGCUGAGACGUGUGGACA